GAGGAGGUUGAUUGACGUGGAGGGGCUGGCGGGAGUCAGUCACUCCCCAGAGCCGAGGGGUGGGGUGACGGCGGGAAGGGGCGGGGCUAGGAGCCGCGCUGCGGGAGGUGCGCGUGCGCGCCGGGCGGCCUAGCCGCUGGCUGGCUGGCUUCCUUCCUAGCCCCCCGCCGGUGGUGUUUUGGAGAAAAAAAAAAUCUCUCUGAUUAGAUUGAGCUGUGGAGACUUGUAGGACUAUCAGAACCUCCGUGCUGACGGGUAUGCGGGAAGACACACGGGGACUUGCGUGGCCUCCGCACUCAUCCCCCGCGCAGCCCCACUGCAGAGCCCAGGGCGUUCUAGCUGGUUAAGGAGAUAGCAGUGUUUCCCCGAAUAUAUUGUCGUGGCUGAUCUUCAUUGGCAUCUAGACUGGAUUUGGAUUUGCCUGUGUAUUGCACAGCUAGGGGUGUCUGUGAGGGACAAUUGAGUGAGGUGAAGGCCCAGCAUGAAUACGGAUUCAAUCCAUUAUCGCUGGGGAGGACAGCAGAGCAGCUCAUGUCAUGACCAAAAGGAAGCAGAAAGAAGCCAGCACUCCACUGCCUUUCUCUCAUUUCCCCCUUGUUCCACCAGAGCUCACAGCCCACAGGAUGUGUUUUUCCCGUCAAUUAAUUCUCUCUAGAAAGAUCUUCAUAGAAAGACACUGAGG